GACGAACGCUGGCGGCGUGCCUAAUACAUGCAAGUAGAACGCUGAAGAGAGGAUCUUGCUCUUCUUGGAUGAGUUGCGAACGGGUGAGUAACGCGUAGGUAACCUGCCUUGUAGCGGGGGAUAACUAUUGGAAACGAUAGCUAAUACCGCAUAACAAUGGAUGACACAUGUCAUUUAUUUGAAAGGGGCAAUUGCUCCACUACAAGAUGGACCUGCGUUGUAUUAGCUAGUAGGUGAGGUAAUGGCUCACCUAGGCGACGAUACAUAGCCGACCUGAGAGGGUGAUCGGCCACACUGGGACUGAGACACGGCCCAGACUCCUACGGGAGGCAGCAGUAGGGAAUCUUCGGCAAUGGGGGCAACCCUGACCGAGCAACGCCGCGUGAGUGAAGAAGGUUUUCGGAUCGUAAAGCUCUGUUGUAAGUCAAGAACGGGUGUGAGAGUGGAAAGUUCACACUGUGACGGUAGCUUACCAGAAAGGGACGGCUAACUACGUG
rnacentral:rRNA from 1 species